GACGUAGGGCGCAAGCGUUGCCCGGAAUUAUUGGGCGUAAAGAGCUCGUAGGCGGUUUGUUGCGUCGGCUGUGAAAUCCCGAGGCUCAACCUCGGGUCUGCAGUCGAUACGAGCAAACUAGAGUGUUGCAGGGGAGACUGGAAUUCCUGGUGUAGCGGUGAAAUGCGCAGAUAUCAGGAGGAACACCGGUGGCGAAGGCGGGUCUCUGGGCAACAACUGACGCUGAGGAGCGAAAGCGUGGGGAGCGAACAGG
rnacentral:rRNA from 1 species